UCGAGAAUCUUUCGCAAUGGGCGAAAGCCUGACGAAGCGACGCUGUGUGUGUGAUGAAGGCCUUUGGGUCGUAAAGCACUUUCGCCUGGGAACAAGAGAACUUAGCGAAUACCUAGGGGAUUUGAGAGUAUCAGGUAAAGAAGCACCGGCUAACUACGUGCCAGCAGCUGCGGUAAUACGUAGGGUGCAAGCAUUAAUCGGAUUUAUUGGGCGUAAAGGGCGCGUAGGCGGAAAUGCCAGUCAGAUGUGAAAUCCCGGGGCUCAACCCCGGAACAGCAUUUGAAACUACAUUUCUAGAGGGUAGACGGAGAAAACGGAAUUCCACAAGUAGCGGUGAAAUGCGUAGAUAUGUGGAAGAACACCAGUGGCGAAGGCGGUUUUCUAGUUUAUACCUGACGCU
rnacentral:rRNA from 1 species